ACCAUAGCUCCGUGUGUGUGUGUGGUGAGAUCUCAACACUUGGUCAAGGCUGCAACACACCAUUACUCACCAGCGCUUAUUCUGUCCCACGGCACCUGCGUUCCUCGGCCCACACCUCGCCACUUCCGCCCUCCGUUACCUGGCAACCACCGUCUACUCUGUGCUUCUGUGUUUUGACCUUUUUAGAUUCCACAUGUAAACGACACAGGACCUGAUCUCAGGCACCCGAGGUGGCAUGCAGGGAUCUCAAGUGGUGACCUGAUCCGCUCUACCAGGACGCCUGCUUCCAUCCAUACCGUUUUCCAUGGCGACCGCGUCAGCAUUGCUACCAACAGGGUUACAGGUUCUCCUUCCACACGCCAGCCGGCACUCGGUGUCCUUUGUCUUUCUGAUCGUGGUGAUGUGAUGUCUCACCGUGGCUUUUGCUCGCAUUUCUCUGCCCGAUGGGCAUCCCCCACCCAACAGUAAACCUUUUUUUUGGCGACCUUACAUUGGUGCCGUGACUCGGAUCCAGGCUCCCCCAAUGACUUGCUCUCCCUUCGGGGAUCUCUGAGCUACCUUGGCGUCCUGGAUUUCUGCCAGUCACAAAACGCACCCCCAGAACUCCUUCCACGCCAUGGGAUGCUCCGUGAUCUCCAUCCACGCACCAGCCCUUCAAAUUCUGAGGUUUCUGAUGAUAUGAGAAUGGGUAAUCAGUACUCAAUGAAACAGCAAUGGGCAAUCAGUACUUGUUAUAGCCCCUAAGAUUGGAAACUGACUAUACUGAAGGAGUCUCCAGGAUGUACAGUUUGAUUUUUGGAUUUUAUAAAAGGGAUGGCUAACAUUUUCUGUAAUAAUAGCAUAGCCAAAAUGAGAGUUUAAGUUACCAUUUCACAGCUAGGUUUACUUCACCUCGGGCACAGUAAACAGGCAAAAACCUCCCUUUCAGACCAAGCAAAGGGAGAGAAAGUUUUAAGGUGAGGACAUAGCUUUCCUCAUGGGCAUUGUCUACCCACAAAACCACUACCAGAACAUGCCCGUGACUAGACUUCUAGUUUAGGCCAUCGAAGUUUAGAGCUGGGACCUGAGCACCCCCUGGGCUGGCAUCCUUUGGUCUGCUUUAACAAAAACCAAGAGGGAAAGAAAGCUGGGCAUCAAAAGCAAUGUAAAGAUAGAUGGCAGGCCAAUUCAGGCUGCUUUGUACAGUGAUCUGCCACCAAGGAGACCCAACAGGCCAGUCCACUGCAGUGGCUUUCAGUGUGGAAAGCCCUGACCAGCCAAGAGUUGGGUCACUGGAAAUGACACUGCCCCGGAGUCCGAGGACUGCAGGUCAGAGCCACAGACCUCACUGGCUCUAAACUGAGAAGCCCUUCACUCUGCCCAGCUUCCAAGUAACCACCGCUGCUGAGGGGACGGCCAGGUAACACUGUACACAGUAACUGUACAUUUCCUGUUGGAGAUGCCAGCUCUCCUCCCAGGCCAGCUAGGGAAUGGAAGUCAACAGGGUGCCUCCCUCAAGGAAGUUCACAUCUCCCGUAGGAUGUACCCCAUGUGAAGAGAUAGGUCUGGGCCUCCUAACUGGCAAGGCCUUAAAGCUCACCUGACAAUUAUCAGGCCCCUUUCCUCAGCUUCUAUUGGCCUCUCAAUUAGAAAACUUAGUCGUGCCACCUUAGGAUCAUGGGUUACUAUUCUCACCCUGUCUUUUAUACUACUCUAUCUGUUUAAGUGUUUACAGGAGGUGAUAAUGGAAUGAACAAAGCCCUCACCAACCAGGCGGUCAGUCAAUUGCUGCUACAGGGAUAUACUCGGCUCCCCACCCAGGAGACAGCGGCUCGAGACAUCGCCCCAUGCCGGCAGAGAGUACCUCGUCACCCCAUGUCAGCAGGAAGUAGCCCUAGAGACAGAUUAUCAUCCCUCUACCCCUCCUGGACUCUUGCUUUAUAUUAAAAAAAAAAAAAAAGAGGGGAAUGUUAGCAAAAUGGCGCAGUCUAUGUGGCGCCAUCUAUGCCUCGCUCGCCAUCUUAGGUGCUGGCCCGCAGGCUUCGGUCCUAAGCCCCAUGGUCUAACCACCACUGUCAGCUCCACCUCCACCCUCAUGGGAUUCACUGCUCCUACUUCCCUGCCUGCCCCCAGCAAAGGUUUAGCAGGACCUGUUCCUGAACACACUUCUCUGAUCUCUACCCGCUUGCCCUCUCCCCCAAGCCUGUCGGGCUUCCUCUCCUGCCCCCAACAAUAAACCUUUCCUCUAACUCUGGUGUUUGGUGUGUUUUGUGGAGGCCUUACAAAUUCUAUUCUGUAUCUAACCACGUAUUUCUUAUAUUUAUGUCAUUCAUUCAUUUAUUUAUUUAUUUCAGAGGCAGAGUUUGAGACAGAGGGAGAGACAGGAAGAUCUUCCAUCCACUGAUUCACACCCCAAAUGGCUGCAGCAGCCAUGCUGGGCCAAUCUGAAGCCAGGAGCCAGGAGAUUCUGCCGGGUCUCCCACGCAGGUGCAGGGGCCCAAGCACUCGGGCCAUCUUCUGCUUUCUCAGGCCAUAAGCAGGGAGUGGAAUCAGAAGUGGAGCAGCCAGGACAGGUUGAGGCUUAGGCCACUAUGCCACAAUCCCACCCCCUCCGCAUUCCUUCCUUUUUUUUUUAAGAUUUAUUUAUUUGAAAGGCAGAGUUACAGAGAGGCAGAGUUGAGAGAAAGAGGGCUUCCAUCUUGUUGUUCAGUCCCUU